rnacentral:misc_RNA from 1 species
AUCACCACAUUGAAAACACACAAACCAAUACUUAUAACUUUUUAUUUAUGAGGCCUUUUGAUAGCAAGGCUAUCUUCUUCAGACACAUCACAACAGUCCUUUUGUAUAAGUAUUGGUUUGUGUGUUUUCAAUGCGGUGAUUGAACAAGAAAAGCCAAUAAAAGUUCCAUCUUCAACAUUACAUGAACAUGAUUUUACUAUCAGUAAAUAGAAAACAUAUAAAUCUUAUUAGGCAUGUGCUGUAUGAUUCUACAAUUACGUACAGAUAAUGUCAUAGUAUAAAAUUAUUUCAAGCUUUAAAAACUGUCAUUAAAUAAUCUUCAGUCCAAAAGUUUCUAUUCUUCCCCUAAAAUUAUAAUUAUUUUAAAGUAGACUUAAAAAUUAUUAGUAAUAAAAAAUAUAUCACUUUUUAACACUUUGGCUUACAUACAUUUUGGUAUACAGUACUUACUCUUUUAAGAAGUCUUUCAAAUUAUAAGUGUAUAAGUGUGCAUUUUGUGUAACUUAUUUUGUAGCUCUAAUUAAUGUAUAUUAGUUUAAAAGUUGGUAUUUUUAUAUCUUCUUAGGGUGAAGCAAAUAUAACUGGACUUUCAAGUUUAUGGCCAGUAUUCUGGCAGUGGAGCAGCAAUGGGUAGGAUGGAUAUUAUAGGGGGUGAAGUUAUAUCUUUGUGUUGUUUUUGCUCUCCAUUACUAUUGUGUAUGAAACAGAGGAGCCUAGGAGCCUAGAGCCGAUUUGCAUUGUACAAGCAUACAACCUGUCUUUUGUUUCUAAGAAAGAUAUUGGUUGUUUUCUGCAUUAGUUUUUCACACAAUACGAUUAAAUUAUCACAAUCAUUAUGUAGCACUUUGUAUUGUAUAUUUGUCAAUUUGUAUUAAGAAGUUUUAAUUACCUAGGCUACAUGCAUUUUAACAAUGUUUCAUAUAUUGUUAGUUCAGCUACCCAAAAAUUGAAGAACAUUAACAAAUAAAUAAUAAGUGUUAUUGGUUUUAAAACAAGUUUUUUUGUACAGAAUAUUGAAAAUAAAAUGUAUUAUAAAUGGACAAUAAUAAAAAUCCAAUCUGUAUUAUGUUGUAUAAAAGUAGUAAAAGUGAGUUAUAACAGAAGAAACAAAGUAUGCCUACAGCAGGAUCUAUAAAAUGACAUUUCCUGAGAGGAUGUCCUGUUGGAUUUCAAAAUUAACCCUCCUCUCCUCAUGAGAUGGUGUGGGGGAAACUCAAAAAUCUUUAAUGGGUUGGCCCAUUAGGUAAUAUUUCAAAUUGAAAGCGUUGAGGAGGCAGAAAAAAUUAUACCAAGAAAAGUAAUUUCAGACUAUUCUAUAAAAUAAUCACCAAUAUGUUUCUAAGAAAUCUACAUGGAGACCUUUAAAUUUCACCAUUUAAAGGAUCCUUAAAUUGAAUUUUCACACUAUGGGGUUAUUGUUAAAAAUCCUUUACUUACCUCCAGUGAUCUAGGACUAGAAGUGGUGGAACUGUGACCUCCUGGGGGUAUGGAGGACAUGGAAUAUUCCCUAGAGGAAAGGUCCAUGCAAGUUUUGAAAGUAUGGAGCCUCAAAAUAGCGUUUGAUGUAUCUCUGAGAUGCAGGGAAAAGUUUCCCGUGGAAACAAACCCUUAUUGUUAGGGACGGGUAAAAUCUGUUAACAGUAACCUCAUUGGUAAGGAAAAUUGUGUUGCAAGUAGCGGAUUGCUUCUAUCACCUCUAUAUAUAAUACUCAGGAAUAGCUACCUCUUCACUCAAUGAUCAGCUGAGAAAAUAAAAGCUCUGUUUAUAUAGGCCUCACUCUUGUCUAUUUUGUAUGAUUUAUAUUAUUUUUGUUGGUUCCAUAAAAGAAAAUGUUUGUCUUUUUAUUUAAUUGUGUGAAUAUAACAAAUUUUGAGUACCUGAUUGUUUUGUUGCCUGUGCUUAGUUUUACUGGUUUCAAACUGAGAUUUACACAAUUAUUGAACCAAAAGUGCACAGUUUAAUUUUAAUUUCAAGGGCCACGUAAUUGUUACCUAGUUGUUCAAAUUAAAUAUUAGUUUUGUAGUUAUACUAUAAUAAUAGAUACUGUUACGAUUUGUAAUAUAAUGUAUUUAGUUGUAAGAUGUUGAAUUUUAAUGUUUACAGUUAAUUAUUUCUUUCAUAACUUUUUGACCAGUUACUCAUAAAUGUUACAUACAUUUUUUAAAUACCAGGGUAAAAUUUGUUGAAAAAAUCUAUAUCUUAGUUUUCAUACUCAUUUACUGAAUGUACAAUUUAUAUUGGCUUAUCAAGAAAUAAAUUGUUUUUCGCAAAGUGAGAUGAUUUUGUAAACCUUCUGAGUAUUAGUUGUAAUAGCUAUAGCAGUAUUGUAAUUUGAUAACUUAAUUCUUAAUAUCUCCACAACCAUUUAGAUUAGAUUAAAGGAGGGAUAAGGACGCCCUGGUCCCUAGUGUUUAGGUGCCUUUACAUCUUAGACUUUCUGCCCAACACUUGGCUGAGAGAUUCCAAACAGGGUUGUUCUAAGUGAAGCCUUUCAAACUCCAAAUAAUGUAUUUGACAGUCUCCUGUCUUGAGAUGAGCAAGUAUUUCUUGAAACAACUGUGUCCAGCAGUGAGAGAAAUUACUUGUUUCUAAAAGCAUUUACUCGGCUUCAUCAACCAGGUCAUGAACUGACUGUUUAGCAUCAGAUAAAAUGGAUAAAACCUUGAAUUGAAUUCUUUUUUAGGGGCCAUAAGAUUAUUCUGGCUUUCAGAUAUAAUCACUAUGCGUCAGGUAGAAUCACUAUGCAUCAGAUGUAUGUAUUUGUGUAUGUGUAUUUUAGUAUAUGUACUUUAAAAAUUUACCAUAAAAUCUAGUGUCUAAUAGUAAAUGAACCAAUUACUACAAUAGAAAUACACUAAUACUACUAAACAACUUAUAACAUGAUUUUUGUGGAUAAAAGUUAAAAACUUAUGUUAUAAAUAAGAAUAAGCUCAGGCGAAUCACAAGAUUAUUUUUUACUUUUAGUGUCUUACUUGUCAUAUUUUACAGACCUUUAGUUUAAAGUUUCCUGUAGUGGUUAUGCAUAGUUGUAGCUUUUUUGUUGAGUUCUUUCCUUUUAAUAGCAAACAUUAGAUUCUCACAUUCAGUGGGAUGGAUCCUCUGUUAUAAAUAAAUUUCGUUACUACAUAAUGAAGUUUAAAUCAGUGAUGGAUAGUUUUGUAGCUAUCCACAUUUAUUAAUGUGAGCUAAUUUUUUGUCAUCCCCCAAUUAACAGGAGAGUAUUUGAGAGGGAAAUGAUGUGAUUAUAAUGUACGACAAAAUCUUGACACAGUUCCUAUAAGGUGUGCAGGUGUACUUUCAAGUUCACACACAUCACUAUGUAUGUAUUCAUUAUGUAGUAUCUCUGUAUUUGUUGGUCAUCUGUUUGUCCAUGUUUACAGCCAGUAACCCACGGUUAGCUGGUCUACCUUAGAUUGACUAUCAAGUAACUAGCUCAUUGUGUUCCAGCAGAACAUUGUUAAAUCACAUAAUAAUAUUAAGUCAGCUAUCCUGUUAUUAUAAUUAAAUAAGCGCAUUUAUUUUCUGUUAAUAGAAAAUUUUAGUUUGAGAUACUAGUGUAAGAAGUUGUUUCUGAGAGCAGACAAUUCAGAUGCAAGGUAGGUUUCAACAUGUACUUCUAUAAUAUGUUAUUUCACAAUGUCAUCAGCUUAAAUAUGAACUUUCUUGACUGUGUUCAAGUAGUAUAAGACAUAAGAUUUAUUAGUUGAUAUUAAGAUUAUUUGCCGUUGAUCAUAUAUACAAUGAAAUAGGUAUUGUCAAUACACUUUUAGUAUAAAACAUACUAAUAUAGAAACAAACCAUCAUUGAAAACCACAAAACAGAUUUAAGAGACUCAAAAACAUUUACCUUACAGUUGUAAAAUAAACAUAUAGUUUAAAAUUAAAACCCAGUGAUUUAAAACUGAAUAUUGACAUCCAUAUUUAAAAACUCGUCAAUUGAAUAAAAUGGAUUAUUUAAAAGCCACAAAUAAAAUUUUCUUUUAAAAUGAGUUAUGGGAGUAACAUGAGCAAUUUCUGGAAGCUUGUUAAAAAAUCUUACACAAUUUACCAUAUGGGAUGUUCCAAAUUUGGUCAGUCGAUGUUGAGGAAUGUCAAGCUUAUUUUUAUUUCUGGUGUUGUAUGUAUGAAAUUUAUUUCUAAUGAAAAAGUUUCUGAGGUUUGCUUUAGUGUAUAAUAUAAUAUGGUAAAUGUAGAGAUUAACUAUGGUAGGUAUUUGUAAUUGCAUAAAUAGGCAUUUUCAAUGAUCUAAUGGUGCAGCAUGACAAAUGUACAAAUAUCAAGCCGUAAGCAAUAUGUGGUUGGAAUAAUUCAAAAUAUGCUGUUCUAAGGUACUCGGUAGAUAUUAUAGAUCUUAAUUUCCAAAACAGAAAAGCAACUCCCGAAAGUAUUUUGUUUAAUCCGUUAACAUGGUCGUACCAACUCAAUUUCUUGUCAAUACAAAUUCCCAGUAAUUUGACAAAUUGGUGAUCGUUUUGAGAAAGGCUAAGUAAUAUGUUUUGCGUUUUACUUUCAUUGCAGAGAAGUUUAUUAGUUGUGAACAAUUUCUGAGUAUUACUAUGAGCUGCAGCCAUUGAGCCUUUAACCUUUCCAGAUUAUUAUGACAGAAGAACAGAGUUGAAUCGUCAGCAUAGAUGACAGAAUUCACACCAACAUCUUUUGAUAAAUCACUAAUUAUCACAAGGAAAAAGAAGGGUCCAAGGACAGAACCUUGAGGAACGCCAGAGGAAACAUCUAUUAAUGAUGAUUGUGUCCAUCUUAAACUUACAUACUGUCUGUAGUACUGUACUCAUUAGGGUUUUAUUUCUAGUCUUCUUAAAAAUAAACAAAAAAUUCUUCUAUAUUCUACUAUAUGUAGAAUAUAGAAGAAUUCUUCUAAAAUUCUACUAUUUAUGUAAUCCUUUAAAACUUAAAAUCUCUAUGUAAUACUUUUUUAAAUAUUAUAGACCCAACAGGGCAUUCUUGAAGUCAUGUCAUCCAUUUGCAUGUAUGAUAGUUUUUUAUAUAAAUCUCAUUACAUUUUUUUACUAUUGCAAAAAUAAAAUAUUUAUCUUCAGAAAUUCUUUAGUUGAGAUAUAUAUUAAAAGCCAGUCAAGUCAAUGAUUGAAUUUGAUAAGGUGUAAAGAUUUCUAAUCCUAUUGCAUUUUUCCAGGGCUUUCAUGGACUGUUGAGUUAAAUAUUGCUAAAGAGAAAAAAGCAGAAAAAGAGGAGGGUUUACCUGUCAUAGUUGCAGAACAUAGAAUACGUGCAUCACCUCGGCUGCACAAAGAGGAGGAGGAGAAGUUUGACUUUUUUGGUGAAUCUGACAAUAUUAUCCCACCAAUCAUACCACUGACAGUCCUGGCGCUGCAGCACAGCCAUAAAUGUUACCGCUGUGGGAAGAAAUACUCAACCAAAGGCACUUUGAACAGACAUCUUCGCUUCGAGUGUGGCCAGAAGCCGAAGUUCUUCUGCCCGCUGUGUAGGCGGCCCUUCACACGCAAUGAUACACUCACACAGCACCUGAAGGUGAUGCAUCCACGGUCUCACUUGGGUCAACCUUGAUGUGGAUCCUCACUCAACCAAAGUUCCUACGUCUAGUCAUUCGAAUCAACUUGUAUCUCGUAUUGUGAUUGUUACCGUUGAGCCGUUCAGUAUUGUACAGUAAAUGUUGUUUUAUAUUUUGUUCUUUUUUCAAUCCCUCCUGAACCCGACAGUAAAAGAAGUUUCUGUUGCAGUUGAGAAGACGAAAAUGAUAGUGAGUAUGUUUUUAUUUCUAUCAAUAGAAUACGGAUACCUUAUUUCUAUCAAUAGAGUACGGAUACCUAGUAUAAUUCUUUUUUAUCAUUGGUUAAGUUAAUUAAAAUAAUUUUAGUGUAUUUAGUGGCGAUGCACAACAGUUUUAGUACUAUGAAUUAUAUUAAAUGUUUGUCAUAGAGCAAAGUAACAAAACAUAUCAUCAGUAUUUUGCAAUAACUAUUUUUUUAUUGGUGUAGAAAAUAUAUACUAUAUAUGUCAGCUGUGUUAGGGUGAAGGACGUGUUGUAACCAGUUUGUUUGUAGUCAAAGUAAAUUGAAGUCGAGUGCUGCAUCAAAUAUACCCACUAUUGUGUUUGUUGUGGUAAUUUAAUUUUGUUAGCUUGUUAGCCAUUUUGUUGUAGCCAUUUCCUUUACGUUGAUGUAUUAUUUAAAUUUAACACUCAAAAUUUCAACCAGCAUAUAUAUGACCUAGAAGAACUAAAGUGGCAAAAUUAACAGGGGAUUUGGUGUAGUUGAUUUCAUGUGCUACAAGAAGACUUUGGUUAGCUGAAGUUUGUCAACCAAAGUCGUUAUCAUAGCUAUUUAGGUAAUUCAACAUUGUUAAUGGAAGAAACAAUAAAAAAUACGGAAUAAAAAUUAUUUAAACAUAAAAGUUCCAAAUACUUAAAGAAUAAAGAUGAUUUUAUAAAUAAAUUUCUCCUGUUGGAAGUAGUAUUUAAAGGCAGUUAAAUUAGUAUAAUCUUCCCAACACUCUUGACAUGUAUCUAGUAUUUAAACUCAGUUGAAUCUCUUCCAGAAAUUUCAGAUGUUAGUAAUUAGAGUAUGGACGGUUUCAAAAAUGUAAAAAAAUGUAAUGUGGCGAAAUUACGUUAUCAAUAUUAAUAACGCUUAAGGAGAAAGGAUUUAGUUAAGAGAAAAAAGAUGUGAGAUCUAGUUGGCACUGUAACUGUCCGGAUGUUACAGGUGAGCAGAUAACAGUGGCGGUGGCAGUGACGUGGCAGUGUCCAAAUUGUCCCAAGUCCUAUAAGAGCCAGUCGAGUCUGCACAGACACGUAAGGUUGGAGUGCAACAAGGAACCCACACUGGCGUGUCCCAACUGUCCGAUGAUGUUCGUCUACAAUAGCAGCCUUAACAAGCAUUGGCGGCGGAAACAUGCUUUACACCACUAGAGUUGCCGUUUAACGCUGAUAACAAGACAGAUUAGAGACCGCUGACCGCAGAGUCAGGGCCAGGUGGCGAUGUGUGCAAUAAGUGAUAUACCGGUUCUGGUUUUGUAAAUAUAUUUGUGAGGCUAGUGUGGUUCAUGUUAUCUUGGAUGCAUCGAGAUUAAUAAUUGUUUAUUACAUCUUGAAGAUAAUUAAUUUCUUAAUGACUCUAAGUUAUUAGUUAGGGAUGUUAAAGUAACAUCUUAGUACAUUGGAUGGAAAACUGUUGAAACAUAAGAUGAUAGACGCGAAAUUUACAAGGAACUCUGGACCAGACAGUGGAGGUACAAAAUGAUGGACUGCUUAGUAAAGAUGCCAGAGUUAAGAAAUUGAGUUUGAGAUGUUACAAGUGAAUGUUACAAGUUGAGGGCUGUGAAUGUGAAUGUGAAAAGAAAGUGCAGCUGUUAAUGAUUAAAGGCGUGAGACAAUAAAAAAGAUAGAAGAGGAAAUAUGUGAGUUUUGUGGGAGUGUCAUCUGCGAGUCCGACACAGAGCGGUGUUGUGCCCAACACUUCGCCUCCUGCACUCCGAUACGUAACCGACUCCCCGAGUCCGCCAACACACAGUUACCGGUGUUGACCCCAGCGAAUUAUAGCUUACCACUUUUGACCCCUAUGAGUAAAGUGAUACCCGUCUUGACUCCAAUAAGUGAGAAGUUGCAGAAACUUCCCUAGUAGUGCACUUGCCUUGGACAAAUGGUAAAUCAGAGCAUUCAUUUAGUAUAAAACCUGAGAACUUGAUUGUUGCCUGUAUAAAUAUGUAAAAUUGUCAAAAUUGCCUUUAAAGACAAACCACAAGAUACAAUAUUGAAACUAUAGAAGUUUUACACUCGACCUUAGAUAUAUUUUACAAUGAGUCCAAUAGUGUUUUAAAUUAGUGGCAUUAAUCUAGAGAGCAUCUAAGUUCUUAGAGUUUCUUUUUUAACAAAGUAUCCACAUAAUUAUAUUAAUUUUGUAUUGGAUAUUAUUGUAACAUGUCUAUGAAAACAUAGUAUUGAUUUGUCUUUUUGUGUGUGUUUUACUCAAAGUUUUUUUAACAUAACAAUAAAAAUCAUUUUGAAAUUAUAUUAAUAAAUGAAAAAGGUUGAUAAAGCAGUAUUUGAACUAAAGUUGCAUUGAACAAAACAAGGUGCAUACUGUUGUAUUAGUACACAUCGCAGUCCCUUAAGUAUGUGACACAAUUAUAUUAUUCUUUAAAAUUGACUCAAGAGAAUAUUCAUCUAUUACUUGUUUAAAGAUAGAAGCAUACAUUUUUAUACAUUAGUUUUGUGUUACAUAUUCAGAAUUAGUAUUAGCAUUUAUGUAGUUCUAAUUAGAAAUGUAGUAAUCUAGUUAUAGUUUUUGUGCCAAGUAAUUGUAAGAUAAGGUUGACAAAUAAUCAUGAUGAUUGAAAUUAUAUAUACUUGUACAUAUUCUUAAAUUAUACUUGAAGAGAUUAUUGUAAUUUAUUACUGUUCUAUUAAUAUAUUUACAAGAAAUAAAAUUAUACAUAGUUAUAUUUCCUA